rnacentral:tRNA from 1 species
GCUGGCGUAGCUCAGUUGGUAGAGCAGCUGAUUUGUAAUCAGCAGGCCACCAGUUCAAGUCUGGUCGCCAGCUCAA